UCCCGUUGAUCCUGCGGGAGGUUGCGCUAUUAGGAUUCGACUAAGCCAUGCAAGUCAGGGGCUCUUCGGAGCACCGGCAGAAUGCUCAGUAACACGUCGAUAAUUUGCCCUUAGGUCUGGGAUAACCUCGGGAAACUGAGGCUAAAACCGGAUAGGAGGCGGUGUCUGGAACGACCCGCUUCCCAAAAGUAAUGCCUAAGGAUAAGACGGCGGCCGAUUAGGUUGUUGGCGGGGUAAUGGCCCACCAAGCCAGAGAUCGGUAGGGGCCUUGAGAGAGGUAGCCCCGAGAAGGGCACUGAGACACUGGCCCUAGCCCUACGGGGUGCAGCAGGCGCGAAACCUUUACAAUGCACGAAAGUGUGAUAAGGGAAUCCUAAGUGCUUAUGCAAUGCAUAGGCUUUUGCCAAGAGCAAAAAUCUUGGCGAAUAAGUGGUGGGAAAGACUGGUGCCAGCCGCCGCGGUAACACCAGCGCCACGAGUGGUGACCACGAUUAUUGGGCCUAAAGCGUUCGUAGCCGGUCUGGUAAAUCUCUUGUGAAAUUGUUAAGCUCAACUUAACAGCAUGCAGGAGACACUGCCGGACUUGGGACCGGGAGGAGUCAGGAGUAUUCUUGGGGGAGCGGUAAAAUGUUAUAAUCCCUUGAAGACUACCUGUGGCGAAGGCGCCUGACUAGAACGGCUCCGACGGUGAGGAACGAAAGCCAGGGGAGCAAUCCGGAUUAGAUACCCGAGUAGUCCUGGCCGUAAACGUUGCGAGCAAGGUGUUGCAUAUUCUUCGUGAAUAUGCAGUGUCGAAGCGAAGGCGUUAAGCUCGCCGCCUGGGAAGUAUGGUCGCAAGACUGAAACUUAAAGGAAUUGGCGGGGGAGCACUACAAGGGGUGCGGCGUGCGGUUUAAUCUAACUCAACACAGAAAAUCUCACCAGGGGCGACGGCAGGAUGAAGGUCAGGCUAAAUGCUUUACCCAACGAGCCGAGAGGUAGUGCAUGGCCGCCGUCAGCUCGUGCCGUAAGGUGUCCUGUUAAGUCAGGCAACGAGCGAGACCUGUACCUAUAAUUGCUAACAGCUUCUUUGAAGGACUGAGCACAUUAUAGGGACUGCCUGUGAAAACAGGAGGAAGGUGCAGGCUACGGUAGGUCUGUAUGCUCCGAAUCCUCUGGGCUACACGCGCGCAACAAUGGUAAGGACAAUGGGAUACAACUCCGAAAGGAGAAGUUAACCCUCUAAACCUUAUCCAAGUCCAGAUUGAGGGCUGUAACUCGCCCUCAUGACGAUGGAAUCCCUAGUAAUCGGAUGUCAACAGCGUCCGGUGAAUAUGUCCCUGCUCCUUGCACACACCGCCCGUCAAACCAACCGAGCAGUGUUUAGAUGAGACUCAACUUUCUUGGUUGUUUCGAAUCUAAGCUCAGUGAGGUGGGUUAAGUCGUCACAAGGUA
rnacentral:rRNA from 1 species